UACGAAGGGGGCUAGCGUUGCUCGGAAUGACUGGGCGUAAAGGGCGCGUAGGCGGUUUGGUUAGUUAGGCGUGAAAUUCCUGGGCUCAACCUGGGAACUGCGCUCGAAACGGCGGAACUAGAGUUCGGGAGAGGAGAGUGGAAUUCCCAGUGUAGAGGUGAAAUUCGUAGAGAUGUGGAGGAACACCGAUGGCGAAGGCAGCCCCCUGGGUCAAGAUUGACGCUCAUGCACGAAAGCGUGGGGAGCAAACAGG
rnacentral:rRNA from 1 species